CGCAGCCGCGGUAAUUCCAGCUCCAAUAGCGUAUAUUAAAGUUGUUGCAGUUAAAAAGCUCGUAGUUGAAUUUCGGGAUCAGUUUGUUGGUCGUGCUUCGGUACGUACUGUCAUUACUGGUUUCUACCUUCUGAAGAACCUUGAUGUCAUUAAUUUGGUGUCUUGGGGAAUCAGGACUGUUACUUUGAAAAAUUAGAGUGUUUAAAGCAAGCAUACGCUUGAAUACAUUAGCAUGGAAUAAUGAAAUAGGACGUUUGAUUCUAUUUUGUUGGUUUCUAGGAUCGACGUAAUGAUUAAUAGGGAUAGUUGGGGGCAUUAGUAUUCAAUUGUCAGAGGUGAAAUUCUUGGAUUUAUUGAAGACUAACUACUGCGAAAGCAUUUGCCAAGGAUGUUUUCAUUAAUCAAGAACGAAAGUUAGGGGAUCGAAGACGAUCAGAUACCGUCGUAGUCUUAACCGUAAACUAUGCCGACUAGGGAUCGGAUGAUGUAUUUUUAAU
rnacentral:rRNA from 1 species